rnacentral:snoRNA from 1 species
ACUCCCCAUUUUCCUUAUCUAUCAGAUCUAAACAUUGGUCUGGGUGAUUAUAAACAGAGCAAAAGUAAACUUGAAACUGAAUUCAAGUUUUUUGUAAGACACAAACUAGUUUCAAAUAGAA